AUUGAACGCUGGCGGCAUGCCUAACACAUGCAAGUCGCACGCGAAAGGGGGCAACCCCGAGUAGAGUGGCGCACGGGUGAGUAACGCGUGGGUAAUCUGCCUUCGAAUUGGGGAUAACGUUGCGAAAGCGACGCUAAUACCGAAUAACAUCCAUGGGUCUUCGGAUCUUUGGAUCAAGGGUGGCCUCUACAUGUAAGCUACUGUUUGAAGAUGAGCCCGCGUACCAUUAGCUUGUUGGUGGGGUAAUGGCCUACCAAGGCGACGAUGGUUAGCUGGUCUGAGAGGAUGAUCAGCCACACUGGAACUGACACACGGUCCAGACUCCUACGGGUGGCAG
rnacentral:rRNA from 1 species